rnacentral:rRNA from 1 species
AGAGUUUGAUCCUGGCUCAGGAUGAACGCUGGCGGCGUGCCUAACACAUGCAAGUCGAACGGAAAUUACAGAAGGAAGUUUUCGGAUGGAAUUUUGUGAUUUUAGUGGCGGACGGGUGAGUAACACGCGGGUAACCUGCCCUGUACCGGGGGAUAACAGUUGGAAACGGCUGUUAAUACCGCAUAAGCGCACAGCUUCGCAUGAAGCAGUGUGAAAAACUCCGGUGGUACAGGAUGGACCCGCGUCUGAUUAGCUUGUUGGCGGGGUAACGGCCCACCAAGGCGACGAUCAGUAGCCGGCCUGAGAGGGUGAACGGCCACAUUGGGACUGAGACACGGCCCAGACUCCUACGGGAGGCAGCAGUGGGGAAUAUUGCACAAUGGAGGAAACUCUGAUGCAGCGACGCCGCGUGAGCGAUGAAGUAUUUCGGUAUGUAAAGCUCUAUCAGCAGGGAAGAUAAUGACGGUACCUGACUAAGAAGCCCCGGCUAACUACGUGCCAGCAGCCGCGGUAAUACGUAGGGGGCAAGCGUUAUCCGGAUUUACUGGGUGUAAAGGGGGCGCAGACGGCGAUGCAAGUCUGAAGUGAAAUCCCACGGCUCAACUGUGGAAUUGCUUUGGAAACUGUAUUGCUUGAGUGCUGGAGAGGUAAGCGGAAUUCCUGGUGUAGCGGUGAAAUGCGUAGAUAUCAGGAAGAACAUCAGUGGCGAAGGCGGCUUACUGACAGCCACUGACGUGAGACGGAAGCGUGGGGAGCCAAACAGAAUUAGAAUACCCU